AGGAAAUCCAGACCCAGUGAUGACACUGUCCUGGGUGAUCUUAUCUUUGCCUCAAAAUGACCCCAGAUCCUAAGAACUACAGCAUAUCAUUAUUGCAGCAAUAACCACAAAGAGUGUCUGAUAAUGUCAAGGAUGGGGAUUUCAAGCUAAUUAUCACAUCAAGCAUUUUUAAACUUGGUUUUGGAGAUCAGAACUCAGAUCCUUACACUUGCGAGGUCCCGUUUGUAUGUGUUCAUUUUCUAUGAACUUAUUUCUAAUAGUCCCGGAGUAAUGGCUGCUAAGAAGGAACAUGG